rnacentral:rRNA from 1 species
AUUGAACGCUGGCGGCAGGCCUAACACAUGCAAGUCGAACGAGUGGCGGACGGGUGAGUAAUGUCUGGGAAACUGCCUGAUGGAGGGGGAUAACUACUGGAAACGGUAGCUAAUACCGCAUACCAUCAGAUGUGCCCAGAUGGGAUUAGCUUGUUGGGGGGGUAACGGCUCACCAAGGCGACGCUCCCUAGCUGGUCUGAGGGGAUGACCAGCCACAAUGGAAACGAGAAACGGUCUCGGAUUCUACGGGAGGCAGUCGUGGGGAAUAUUGCACAAUGGGCGCAAGCCUGAUGCAGCCAUGCCGCGUGUAUGAAGAAGGCCUUCUGGUUGUAAAGUACUUUCAGCGGGGGGGCGUUACCCGCAGAAGAAGCACCGGCUAACUCCGGGCCAGCCGCCGCGGUAAUAC